GCGUAAAACUCUCGCUCGUUUAUAACAUCGUCCACAUAUAUCUCUACGCAACCUCUACAGCUCUCUCUUUCUUUAACAAUAACAACAGUUUUCUCACAUCAAAUUUCCAAUCCUCAUAUCUUGGUCAUCUUUUUCCAGAUUCUCCUCCUCUUUGAAGAGCCAUCUCUCAGAUUUCUUCAAGCCAGAUCUGCACUUCUUUCCUCACAAUCGUCUCUCUGUUCAGUCGCAGGAUCGGCCGCCGUCGCCUUCAAAUCUGCUGGAGUUGCAGAGAAAUCUGCACUUUCCGGCAAUGCUCUUUCAUUUCCGGACGCGCUGGGUCGAUUAAGCUCCCAAAUCGCAUCAACUUGGAUUGCAGAUCGAGGAGAUCGUUUUCUUCCCCCGGUUCUUGGAAAAUCAAGAUGGGCAUAGAUUGGAGUGACACAUCGUCUUCAUCGUCUAGUGAUUCAGAUAAAGAUUUUGAUGACCUUGUAGAUUGCAUGUAUUUGAAUUUGAUACAGGAGAAUGAAGAUUCAUUUAAAUCUAAGGUACCAAAGAGAACUUCAAGGUUAACAGGUCAUGAGUAUGUUCAGGAAUUGUUGAAUGACCAUGCUGGUGGAUGUUUUGAUUUAUUACGAAUGGAUAGAGAAGUCUUUCUGAAAUUAUGUCGAAUAUUGAGAGAACAUAAAUUGUUGGAAGACACACAUCCAAUUUCAAUCGAGAAGUCAGUGGCAAUGUUUCUGUUCAUUAUAGGACAUAAUAUUCGUCAUGCAGUGGUAGCUGAACGAUUUCAACAUUCUGGCGAAACAGUUUCUAGACAUUUUAAGUAGGUAUUGAGAGCAAUAUGUCGCCUUGGGAAAUUCCUCAUACGUCCACCACAAAGCAAUGAUGUGCCUUCUCAUAUACUUCAUAAUCCUAAAUACUAUCCUUGGUUUAAGAACUGCAUUGAAGCAAUUGAUGGAACACAUAUAAGUUCUUUUGCACCUGCCAGCAAACAAACUCCUUAUAGAGGAAGAAAGUCUAUAAUGAUACAAAAUGUUAUGUGUGUUUGCUCAUUUGAUAUGCUAUUUACUUUCGUUUACGCGGGUUGGGAGGGAACGGCAAAUGACUCAAGAGUUUUUAUUGAUGCAAUUACUAGAGCUGUUGCACGAUUCCCGAUACCACCUGAUGGUAUCACUACAACAAAUUUGGGUUAUUGCCAUGAAAUUUUUUGCACUGGUGUUAAUUGAUAAAUCAAUUAAAAGGGCUACUCCAUAUUUUAUUUUGAUUAUAAUGUAGAGUCAAAGAUGCUUCAGUGUUGAUCAUAUAGAAAAAUUAUUUAAGAGUCCGUAAUUCGAACAAGCAAAUGAGAUAGAGUAUGGACUACACCAGGCCUCUAUUUCAUUGGGCUGUUCGGAAUUCAGACUCCGUAUAUAUUUAAGUAAAUAUUAGGGGCUCUUUGGUAUUUAGGAUAAUGAAUUUCUUGUACGAAUUGGGUUUGUCUAUUGCUGAGGGCUUUCUUGGUUCGGUGUCUCUUCUCAUUUAACUGAAAAAGUAACAGUAAAAAAAAUUAUUUAGUAAAUAAUUUUUUAACAACAAAGGUUUUUUUUUUAUUUUAAAAAAGCCUUUAUAUUUCUCUGAGAGAUCUUAAAACCUGUUUUAUUUUAUUUAUUCUUUGUUGUUGAGUGAACCAAACAAAUUCUUACUUUCUUAAUUAUCUCAAUUCUCAGAAGUACUAAAAUUAUUAUUGCUUGUUAUUGAGUGGAUGUUACUUAUCGGGAAUACUAGUGUGACAUGAAUUCUACAGAUCAUAACCUGUGAUGUCGAACAAGUUGCCCAUGAUUAUAGAGAGCGGUUUCACCAUCAGAAAAAGGCCAAAUGGGCAGGGUGACAAUUUUUGAGAUUUUUGAAUGGGCUCAUGCUACAAGACUUCAAGCUCUUUUUGUUUAAGAUGGGGAAAUACUAUGUAGUUGAUUCUGGUUACCCAUGCACAAAAGGAUUUCUGCCUCCGUAUCGUGGUCAAAGAUAUCAUCUACAAGAUUAUAGGGGCAACAAUCGGCAACCUCGUGGUGCAAAAGAAUUGUUUAACUAUCGGCAUUCAUCGCUUCGCAAUGUCAUUGAACGUUGUUUUGGAGUACUAAAGGCUCGUUUUCCCAUUUUAAAGCUUAUGCCUUGCUAUAAGUUGGUUAGACAACGACUCACAAUAACUGCUUGUUGCACGAUUCACAAAUUCAUUCGUCAAAAUAUAAUAGAUGAUCGUUUUUUUAUGGAGUAUGGGGAAGAAGAUGUUAAUGUCACUGAUGGGGGGAAUGGUAACAGUAGUAUGCUGGUGUACUGAAUGCACUUAAUUUAUCUGACGAUGGUGCAACACAAAUGGGAGCCUUUAGAACUCAUCUGACAAAUCAAAUGUGGGCAUCAUUCAGAGGCAAUGGUUGAUGAAGUUAUUUUUAUAAUUCUCCAAUGUUUUGCUUUGAUUACCUAUUUGUGUAAUUCUCUAAUAUUUUGUUUUGGUUAUGUAUGACUAUAAUUAAUGUUUGUACAACUAAAAGUGCAUAUGACACUUUGAAGUAAUUAAUGUAACUCUUUUAUUGUAUUUCAAUUUAGUCAAAUUUUAAUUAAA